rnacentral:rRNA from 1 species
UUAAAUUGAAGAGUUUGAUCAUGGCUCAGAUUGAACGCUGGCGGCAGGCCUAACACAUGCAAGUCGAACGGUAACAGGAAGCAGCUUGUUGCUUCGCUGACGAGUGUCGGACGGGUGAGUCAUGUCUGGGAAACUGCCUGAUGGAGG